UACGAGGGGAGCUAGCGUUGUUCGGAAUUACUGGGCGUAAAGGGCGUGUAGGCGGUACCAUAAGUCAGAUGUGAAAAGCCCUAGGCUUAACCUAGGAGGUGCAUUUGAUACUGUGGAACUAGAGAUCGAGAGAGGUAAGUGGAAUUACGAGUGUAGAGGUGAAAUUCGUAGAUAUUCGUAAGAACACCAGUGGCGAAGGCGGCUCACUGGCCAUAUACUGACGCUGAAACACGAAAGCGUGGGGAUCAAACAGG
rnacentral:rRNA from 1 species